CGCCACCACCGGGCUGACUUCGCUCAUCUUUCCGGGCUGCAGGCUGCUGGAAGGGGGGCUGAACCUCCUGCUGGUGCUGGGAUCUACGGGAAUACGCAUCACAACAGCCACAAGUUAGCGAGGAAAGAAAUCUUAACUACUGCUUUACAUGAGGUGUUGAUUUUUCUGGACCAACAAUGUAUUAUAGAAUGAGUGAAUUUUGCUGAAAAGUUAACAAUGAAAAAAAAGACAAUUCUGGAACCAGAUAGGACGAUCCUGAUCUCCACUAUUCUAUCCAAGACCAACAGCAGAAGAUAUAAGGAUUUAUGGAUUUUUUCCCCUAUGCUGUACUUCCUUACAUGGAGGAGAAAACUGAGAUGUAGCAGGAGGUAUUGGUAAAGGUGAGGUAGUGGAAAUGCUUAAUCAAGGUCUGGUUGCUGUAAUCAUCUGGAAGAAGGUCAGUAAUCUGCAGUUCAAACCAGACAAGACAGAAGUGCUCAUUGGUGAGUCAUCUGCCUGCAUGAGGACUUUGGCAUAUGCUGGAAGGGUUCUCCUCCUCCUAAAGGAUCACAUUCAUAACUUGGGAUUGUUGAUAGAUACUUUUUUGUCCCUAGAGUCACACUAGUACCCUCUGCCAAAGAGUUGCCUUUUACCAGUUUGGAUGGUACAGCAAGUAUAGCUCUGUUUAAAAAGAGAACUUAUCUUUAGCGAUCUACAUCUUAGUAAUCUCCAAUUAAAAUGAUUACAAUUCAUUUUCCAAGCAUUGACUUUGAGGAUGAUUUAGAUUAGUUCAGUUCAUACAAAAUAUAGGGACCAGAACUGGAUAUUAGGAUAUUAUCAUAUAACACCAAUAUAACGUCAGAUUUAUCAUUUCUCAGUUAUUUCCAUGAUGAAUUCAGCCUGUUGGCAUUGACUAUACUGUAUAACGUCCUUUAGAUGUUGGGAAUAUGAAGGCCAGCUACUUGCUGUGUUGUACGCUGACAGAAAUUGAGAAGAUCAAGAAAGGCCUGCUCCAAGUGCUCAGGCAAUGUGAGAUUAGGCAAAGACUUAUUGACUGUUUUAAGUAAUCACCUCUUGUUUAACUUUAAAAAAAAAUUCCUAAAUCUUUUUUUUUCUUUGCAUUUCCAUUGCCGUGUUCCUUUAAUUCAUUAUUAUUUUAUUGUCACUUUUAUUGCACUCCAAGGACUUCUGCUGUAGGAUAAUGUAAUGAUGAUUAUAUUACAUGACUAUCAUGAUUACAUGAUUACCAGAUGGUUUGCAUCCCAGGGUACUGAAGGAGCUGGCAGAUGAGCUCUCGGAACCACUGAAUAAAAUCUUUUAGAGCUCCUGGAGCAUGGGGAAACUGCCAGAGGCCUGGAAAAGAGCUGAUGUGGUUCUAAUCUUCAAAAAGGGGAAAAAGUGGAACCAGGAAACUACAGACCAAUCAGCUUGACAUCAAUACCUGGGAAAAUCCUGGAAAAGAUAAUCAAGCAGCAGAUUUGUGAGCAUCUGGAAAUGAACAAGGAAAAUCAUCUAUCUUCCUGAAUCAGGCAUUGUUUUUACUGGAUGAUACUGGAUCCUCAACCCCUAUUACAGCAUUCUGCACAGGAUGUCCUAUUUGCCUUUCCUUUCUUUAUAUGCUUUCACUGAAACAAUGUUAGCAAUUUGUGUUUUAGAAGGGUUCAUAUGGGGAAUUCUGCAGUGGGUCAGUUGUGAGACUCACUGGUGAUCACUUUAUUUCUAUAUUGUUUCUGUGUAAAGAAUCUGAUGAGCCAUGGAAGCAUCCUACUGUCAUGUUCAGCUAAUGUGUGGAUGCUACUAAUAAAAAUGAUACUAAAUACA